CUGAAGCAGGCUCCAGGCUCUGAGCUGUUAGCACAGAGCCCAGUGUGGGGCUCGGACCCGCAAACGGUGAGAUCAUGACCUGAGCCUAAGUCAGAUCCUUCACCGACUGAGCCACCCAGGAGAAAGGGCGGGCCUACGCCAGCCGACUCAAUCUUGUUCUGUGUCCUCCACCUUGAGUGACUAUGUCCCCGACAUGACCCCUUUUCCGGGAAAAUCGCAGAAACCUCAGAUCGCGCCUCCUCCCCUUGGGUAACCUCCAGCUCACCCGUUCAAACUUCCUGAUCAAAACACGCCCAGCGACCUGCGUAACAGGACUCUGACCCUUCCCCAGCAAAUCGGCCGAGGCCACGACCCUUCCCCAGCCAAUCGGCUGAGGCCACAGCCAUUACCUCAUCAACUGCCCCUAGGCCCUAAUAAAACCUUUGUGCUUUUGAAACUCGCUCUCUCUCUCCAGUAUCUCACCGCUGCGUCGGUGCAGAUUUCACUGAGGUGGCCCUGUGCUAUAUCGUAUUUGUCUGAUUUGUGAAGUAACCUGUUUUUGGGGAAAGAAGAUGUGGGAAGUUCAAUGAUUGAGAUUCUUACAUCUUGGCACUAAGGAAUCAGACUUGAGUUCUGGAUGCUGGGAAGUUCAGGAUCAAGGCACCAGCAUGGUCGUAUUCUGGUAAUUGGCAGUUGAUCAAUUGGCACGACCCUGAUGGGCUGUUUUGGCCCAACCUUCUGUGUGACAGAGCUCCAGGAAGAGGGAACCUAGAGGAGCCGGUGCCAAAGGUGGACAUGGAAGCAGGAGACAGUGGGGAUCUGCACAUGAAUGAAGAGACCUGACUGUGGAGUAUUAGAGGAUUUAUUAAAGGAUUGGACAGUUUUCCUUUAUGGUCUUUGUGAAGCCUCGGAGUUACUAACUGCCAGUGCAAUAUGGUAUCACAAAGAUAACAGCUUUUACUAGAAGUUCAGUUUUCUAUUCCUACCUUGGAAAGCAGCACCUUAACAAACCCAAGUGGUCAACGUUUAUGGUACUCCUGUCUUCCUUCUAGGACCCUUUGAAAUAUAUGUCUUUUGAAUUUAGUUUUGCUGGAAAAAUCUGCAUCCAAUUUGAAUGAAAUUGAAUAUGUUUCAGGGCUCAAGCAGCAUGCCUUCCAUCUGAAGCAAAAUGGAGAUGAAUUUCAAUUAGAUGUUCCCAUUAUAAUCUGUCUCCACCUGUAGUUUUCCAUAAAAAUUGCUAGGAAGUGUGGUAUAAUGUAUGAUCAGGAUUUGCCCACUGGCAGCAGUGUCCCAUUAUCUUAGUAAAAAAGCACAAAAUAAUUAGUCUGAUGCAUAUAGAUAGCAGCUUCUUACAGCGAGUGACUUUAAUUGUGGUGAGUAAUACAUACGGAGUUUGAAGUAUUAUAUAUUUCCCUCCCAAGAAGAUACCAAUUACUAAUUCAGUUGACAAAGUAACAAUAUUUCAGAAGAUUUAAUGCAAACUGAACAUUGUAGUCAAUAGCCACUGUAAAAUGUCCAUUUUAUGGUCUUAUUUUUGCCUGAGCUUAAUUUAUGGUAAUUUGGUAGUUGCAUAUAGCCUGGAAGUAUGCUGUUGGCUUGAAUUAGUACUUGGGUAUUGCAUAAAUCAUACUGAAUGUGUUGGCUUCAUCUAAUGCCCUUCUUUCUCCUACAUUUGGAAUCCUUCUUAUCUUGUCAUUUCUCUCUCCUCAAUCCUACCUGUAAAUUCAUGGGGCUCUAAGAGCUCAGUAUUUAGGAGAUCACUUCCUCAUAGAGUAGCAUCUUCCAAAUGCCAGAUAGAGUUCUGUGCUUCAGAGGGAGGGAAUUUAGCAAAAAUUUUUUUUGUGGGAUAGAGUAUUUGUUUUAUCCCACCUUAAGUGCCUUAAAAGAAAAUACAAUUCCCUCUCCCUGUCCUAUUUGCCUCUAAAAUCCAUGCUAAUAUAAAAGGCAAGGUUUAAAAGUAUUAUAUUAUUUGAACUAAUUUUUCCAGUGCUGGUUGAUAUUAGUUUUUUCAAUUUUGUUUUUUAAUCUGAAACAUAGGACAAAUAUGCCAGCAUGCUCUAAGCUCACAGGUAAUCUACCUGGGGACCUAAAUAAUAUGAAUCAUCCAACUGUAUGGUAAGAUUUAGUUUAGGUGACUGGGCUUCAAAGAAAUACAUUGGAUGUUUCAGAACUAAUGAGAUAAUUGCCUAUGUUCUGCUGUUCUUUUAUACUUGUUGAUAAAGAUUUUCAAUUUUUAGUUGUGGUUAGUCAUUUUUAAAAAUGAUUAAAAAUUUUAAGUCAAUAAAUGUCACAUAGACAUCUAAUUGUGAGCAACCUCAUUUUAAAUGUUGUAGGAAACCAUG